rnacentral:rRNA from 1 species
UACAGAGGUCUCAAGCGUUGUUCGGAUUCAUUGGGCGUAAAGGGUGCGUAGGCGGCGGGGCAAGUCGGAUGUGAAAUCCUAGGGCUCAACCCUGGAACUGCAUUCGAUACUGCCUUGCUCGAGUACUGGAGAGGAGACUGGAAUUUACGGUGUAGCAGUGAAAUGCGUAGAUAUCGUAAGGAAGACCAGUGGCGAAGGCGAGUCUCUGGACAGUUACUGACGCUGAGGCACGAAGGCCAGGGGAGCAAACGGG